UACGAAGGGGGCUAGCGUUGCUCGGAAUCACUGGGCGUAAAGCGCACGGUAGGCGGAGUUGUUAAGUCAGGGGUGAAAUCCUGGAGCUCAACUCCAGAACGUGCCUUUGACUACUGGCGAUCUCGAGUCCGGGAGAGGUGAGUGGAACUGCGAGUGUAGAGGUGAAAUUCGUAGAUAUUCGCAAGAACACCAGUGGCGAAGGCGGACUCACUGGCCCGAGUACGUGACGGCUGAGGCACGAAAGCGUGGGGAGCAAACAGGGAAUUAGAUGACCCUGAGUCCCA
rnacentral:rRNA from 1 species